rnacentral:pre_miRNA from 1 species
UUAGUACUCCAUCCGUCCCAAAAUUCUUGUCUUAGAUUGUCUAUACAUGAAUGUAUCUAGUCACGUUUUAAUAUUUACAUACAUUCAUUUGUACACAAAUCUAAGGCAAGAAUUUUGAGACGGAGGAGAGUCUU